UUCAUCUUUUUUGUGAGAAAUAUCCUUCUUUCUACAAGAAUUUUUAAGGUGAGAAGCAGGCAGGAAACAAAUUCUUCUUCUAUAUUAAGUUUAACAUCUGCUGUAUCUAUGGAUAACAGGUUCUGAGAGGAACUGCUGAGUGUGACACAGUACAGCUGGUAGAGUUAAGUGUGGAAAGUCAGUCUGAGCACACGCUGUAAUGGAUUUGACCUCGAAGAGCACUACAAAGAGAAAUUGCAGAUAACCAUCUGAACUGACUUGAGAAGCCUGUAGCCCUGACUCCCUGGAUACCAGGAAAAAAGAGAAAGACUUAAUAGAUUGGAGUGAACAAUCAGAAAUACAGGAGCGAAUAAAUGCUUAAUAUUUGAAGUGCUGACAGUGCAAGAUAACGUGAAAGAGCGGUAUGCUCCCUGGAUGAACAUUGUGCAGCAAUGCUCGGUCCAUCUCAGCACUACCCAGUUUGAAGCUUCAGCCUUGAGGGUGGCAGUGGUGAAUCUGACAGGGCUCUGCCAUCGAUACCCUGAAAAGUCAUCAGAUGCUCAGGUGGUGCCUUCUUUGACGUGAUGGCUUCAAUGAACAGUCAGAGUUUUUAUUCACAGAUGAUGUGGGGAGCCUGAGGAACUAAGCCCAGCUGAGCGCUACAUGAGACAGUGAUAUGUCUGAGAGGUAGGCAUGCAACGUGGAUCUGCAAGCAAUCUAACUGAAGAUGGAGAUACUGAAGAGUGAGGAGUACUGCUUUAUCACUGCUGACAUAAAGAUUCAUUAUUUUUUGCCAAUUCAGAAAGCGAAUCUUAUGGAAAUGAAGACUUUUUGUGUGCGUAUGUGCCUGUUUUGCAUAUCUCAUUACUUGAAUUAUUUCUCGGUUUAGGCAAAUGAUUGCUGCCUUUAACUAGAUGAUUAAACACUCCAACAUCUCACAAAGGGAAGAAAAAACAGCCAAGUACUACGAGCACUGAGUAGAUUUACCAUUUUCAAGUCUCUCUGCAAAAUGAGAGCAAAAGAAAAAGAGUGCAUUCAUUGCUAAUCAUAUUCUUUGAAGUAUGGUAGAGACCUGGCAAUUUUAUAUUGUGCAUGAAAGUCACAGUAUUAGACUAAGAUUAUUUUAAGAAACACUUUUAUCAUUUUCUAACUGACAGAAAGGGCAAGUCUGCCAGCCAUGCAGCUUGAUGUUUUCUCAUGAAACAGUAAAAGAACCCCACAAUGAUGUGAUUAACGACUUGCAUCCAUUUUCUCUGAUCCCCGAACUUGAAUGCAGAGAACAGAGCAGAUCUCUGUGCUAUUAUCUAGCCCUCUAUUCAGACCAGACUAAUGCCAGCAGAACUUCUCUUGCAACACUUGUUCCCCAACCCAAGGCAUUUGCAUAUCACAGAGAAUAAGGUUAUGUAACACAGUUGUUGAUUUUGGUGUUGUAAAGCGCUGUCAGGGUUGUUUUUGUCACAAACUGCAUGGUUUUAGAGUAGAUGUUAUGAAAGUGCAUGUUCUUGCUAGUAAUUUUACAGUAUAUGAAACUGCUUAAUUUUGUAAAUCCAUAAUUAGUAAGGGAAAUACUUGCAAUUUUUACAUAGGCAUGUACCUUUUCAGUAAGUGUUCUGUGGACAGUGAAACAAGACAAUUGUCGCAAAAGACAGCUCUUGCUUCUUUAAUUGAAAACACAAUUGCCCUUGCUUACAGCUCUGUUUCCUGGACUGUUUUGAGACUGUUGUAGGUCACUUUGAUACAAACUCUUGCAGAACAGUUGCAAAAGCCAUAAAUCACACAAUUAGGUGCCUUUUGCUUUUGGUUCGUUUCCUUAAGGUCCACCAGAGAAAGUGACCUGUUUUGAAUUGAGCCAAAAAACAGAGUACCUGAAAGCUGAAGGACGUUCAAAUCUGACAAGCAUUGCAUGAGGACUAUAAUGCUGAGGGCAGUUUACUUGCUUAGCACCUGACUUACCACUUUUGUCCGCUCACACAAAAAUGAUUGCCAAAAGGGAGAGAAAAAUACCUGCAGUUUUGAAGGAAAAUAAACAUGGAGGGGAAAAGUUUCUACUGAUUCCCAUUACAAAAGUAAUUGGCUGCAGGUUCUGAAAGUAUAAACCAGUCCGAUGAAGAUAUAAAAAAAGGACAGCUUUACCACUUCAGUUUCUUGCUGCUUUUCCGUGAUGGGAACUAGAGUUUUUUCCAAGCUACACCUGAGGUACAGAAGUUAUAGCAAAACAAAUAAAUACCAAUGCAUAUAAGUAUACAAAACUGUGGCAGUCAGAUCCCUGAGCUCCUAGUAGUUAAUCUUCUACUGUAACGCAGCUGAACUGGCAGAAGAGGGAAUGCAUUUAGAAAGUUCAGGCAUUUUUAAUCCUGCUACAGCAGGAUUAAACUAUACAUUAAACUAUUAAUACUAAAUUACAGGGAAAAAGCACUGAUUUGAUCAGAAGCAACGCUUUCCCUACAGAAGGUAUCAGUUAAGCCAGCCCUAAUUAACUUAGUCAAAGGAUCAGUAAAUAAACUCAGAUAGCAUCAGUUAGAUGCCCAAACCAGGGGCACGUAGGAUAAAAAAAAGUCUUAAUUUUCAGGAUGUGCUUUGAUAUUCUAAACAUUAUCUUAUUUAUGAUGUAAAUGCUAUAGGUAUGAAAACCUAAAUGGCAUCAGUCCUGACCACACUUUUUCUAUGUACCUUUUGGAGGGUCAGGAAGUCAGUCACAAUUAUGUGACAUACUCAAAGUGGUGACAAAACACAUCCCUCUCCCUGCCCACUACCUCCACAAUCCUCACCCAAGGAAAAGUGCCAAAUAGCCUCACUCGUUUGUGAGACUUCACUAACCAGGACCAAAACGCUCUCAUGUUUCUUUAGUGAGAGCUUCUUCUGGGUACAAGGCAGCCUUCUCAGGACUGAAGAUAUCAAAGCAGAGCAGAGAGCAGUGACCAUUUUAUCUUCUUUACUCAGUUUUUUACUCAGUUACAGAAAUGGAGGUCCUGAGAGCUCUGAAGGAUAGCAAGGUCUUUACAUUAUUCUUCAGUCUUUCCCUUUGCUUGUUAGCUCUCCAUUGACUUCUAAUAACCUUUCUGAGCCACCAAUUGAUUCGAUUAGAACAGGAACUCUCCACACAAGAUUUUCAUGGUGCUUGGGAUAUAAGCUUAAGAUAUUCUUAUAAUAACAGUUUCAGAGGAUUUAGACGUACACAAAAUGUCUUUGAGCUUUCUAGGCAACCAGACUUAAUCUACUAGCUCCCUGGAAUUCUUAGUAUUCAAAGAUUUUGAAGUUGAAAACUUCAGCUACAGAUAUAUUUUUCUGUGUGAGUAAAUUUUUGUGUAACUUUAUUUAAAUCAGCUGUUAUCACUUAUUUCAAGACUAUUUUGUGUAAUUAGCUCUUCAGUGCCAAACCAAAGAUGACAUGACAUUUCUUACUCCAAAGACUGUGGAUGAAGAAACUUGUCAAGCACAAUAUACAAAAACAUCUGACUUUUUUAUUUUCUUUACUUAAUUCUAGAUAUCGCUUAUUCUCCACAAGAAUAAAAUGAAAUCUUUGUCUGUAUACAAAUCUGAUUAAUGGGUUUUAGAAAAAUCUGCCGUUACCAGUCUUUCCUCAAAAUCAUAGAAUCAUAGAAUUAGCUAGGUUGGAAAAGACCU